rnacentral:lncRNA from 1 species
CUUCCUCCAUUUCUCAUUGAAAGCUCUAAUUAUUGUGUCUCCUCCAUGUGGGGUUCCUACAUAGAGAAUUAUAACAAUACGCAAAAUAACUAAUAUUCUACUAUUAAUCCUACUCCUAAGAAAAAUCAAAUUAAAAUAAUCCAAAAAUUAAUACAAUCUUUAAAAACAAAACUUUAACAAUGUUCAAUCAUCCUCCACAAAAUCCAUCUCUUCAUCUCCUUAUUCUUCUUCAUCCUUUCAGUCAUCUUCGCUUUCACGUGCCUCUUCCCCC